GCCUGGGUGGCUCAGUUGGUUAAGCAUCUGGCUUGAGCUCAGGUCAUGAUUUCCCAGUCCGUGGGUUCGAGUCCCGCAUCAGGCU
rnacentral:tRNA from 1 species